rnacentral:rRNA from 1 species
AAUCAACGCUGGCGGCGUGCCUAACACAUGCAAGUCGAACGAGAAAGGGGGACUUCGGGUCCCUGAGUAAAGUGGCGCACGGGUGAGUAACACGUGACUUAUCUACCCUCGAGUGGGGAAUAAACUUCGGGAAACCGAGGCUAAUACCGCAUAAUACCCACGGGUCAAAGGAGCAAUUCGCUUGAGGAGGAGGUCGCGGCCGAUUAGUUAGUUGGCGGGGUAAUGGCCCACCAAGACAGUGAUCGGUAUCCGGCCUGAGAGGGCGCACGGACACACUGGAACUGAAACACGGUCCAGACUCCUACGGGAGGCAGCAGUGGGGAAUUUUGCGCAAUGGGGGAAACCCUGACGCAGCAACGCCGCGUGGAGGAUGAAGUCUCUUGGGACGUAAACUCCUUUCGAUCGGGACGAUUAUGACGGUACCGGAAGAAGAAGCCCCGGCUAACUUCGUG